CUCAUGGCUGCCAUCCAGAGCUUAAGUUUUGGAGUGUGAUCUACACACCUGUGGGAAGGGAAAAGAAUGAACAUGUGAGCUAGAUGAACUAGGAAGGCAUUGCAAAGUCUCCUAUACCAUUAUCACUCUACAGUUUCCUUUUGUUUUCCUCUAAUCUUUGAAAAUAUUUCUUUACAAUGCACAUAAUCAGAAUAUUAGAUUUGGAAGAUAUUUUAGAGGUCUUUGUUUUGUGGAAGAGGAAUCCUAGAGUCAAGUGACUUGCUCAGUUAGCACAAGAAUGCAUCCAGGCAGACUGAUAACUUUGUUAAAAUGAGAACAUGAAAGACAGCCAUGGAUGUUAUAUAGUUAUUAUUCUAUAGCCAGACUGACUAAAAGUAACCCUGAAUAGCUCUAAGAAUUGGGAGUAAGCCAAGGUGGCUGCCUAACUUCAAAACAUGGAGUUUGGAAACUAGUGUGGGGAUCCUGCUGGAAAAGGGAGGGAGCAUUGGUCAUACAAUCCCACAUGAUAAAGCUUAUAAAAAUGCACUGACUUACGGAUUUUUAGCCAGAAGGGAAGGAGUAAAUUAUUUUUAAAACAUUUUGUUACAUGUUGCAGUACUCUCUGCCCACCCCUGCACUGCACACUCCAGGAAUGGAGAAGGGGGACUAGAAACAUUUUUCUUAAUGAAAAAAAAGUUGUGAAGAAAGUCUACAGCAAACUUCAAACUGACAAAAUAUAGGAUACAUUCCCAUACAAGACAGGAACUAUGUCUAGUAAAAACCCAAGGCUGAGCAAGAAAAUGGAAUGUUUCAAGGCCAAGAGAAAGACUUGAUCUAAAGGCCCAAAUGGCAGCUUUGCCCCAAGGGAGGUAAAAACUCAGCCGGGCUUCUCCAAGUGUCUUUACGAUUCAUGGCAAACUCUGGUGGGAAAUGUUUAUUAUGUAUUAUUAAGUGGAAAAAACACAGAAUAAUAUCUAUGCCCUGAUUAUAGUUAUGUUAA